UGUUUGGACGUGGCGGAUCGACUAAAAAACGCACCGAAAACAACGAUUUUUUCGAAACAAAAUGAGUUAAAUAUGUUGUGCCAUAAAUGGCAUAUGUUCCGACGGGUUUCAAAUGAAAAAGUGUUGAGUUUGAGAGAGUCCUGCGGGUCAAUGCGGUAUCCAUGUGUUUCUGUCGUGUUUGAAAUAGUUCAUAAAGGGGAAUACUUACUACAACAACAAACAAUCUAUAUAAGAUAAUUGGCUGCAUGGAACUACAUAAACAUCUUCUAGUUGAUGAAAACACACAAUACAUUUUCCUGUGCACUCAACUCUGUCUCGAAUAAUGCUACAAAAGUGUUUUCCAUUUUGGGCACAUUAAAAAUUCCACACGCGUUUUGGGUGCGUCUCCACAUGAAUAUGUACGAGUAUGUCUGUACAUCUGUACUGCAUCACAUUAACACUUCCCAUUGGACAGAGAUGGCUUCAUUUUCAGGCCAUGCACGCCAUAUGCAACUUGAGUCGUCUUGCCACAGAUGUCAGUGCUGUACUUGCAGUUGCACCCGCUCAUUCUCAGGGCUGGCUCCACAUGAUUUACUACAAGCAGAUGAUUUAAUGUAACCGCACAUACAUACGUACACGAUACACGAACAUGGGGCAGGCCACUUCAGAUCCAGCCCAGCCCAGACACCCCACAUGUGUUGCAACCGAAGCGUUGCAGCAGUUGAAAGAAGAACCCCGAGACGGCAGUGACGGUGUCCUCCAUCUUGAAAACUGAUGCUUCGAUGAAGCGGCAGAGGAUUCCAUUUAGCAGCGAGAGGUUGAUGAAACAGCAAAUAAACAAAAUCUAAGUAGAAUCUUACAUGUACGCCAACCCUUUCCCGGAAGAGUGCGUUAAUCAGGGUGUCAACGAGCUGCGACCUUGCCGAGAGAGUCCAUUCAGAUGCUGGCCAAAAUACAACAUCAAAACAAAUCGUUAAAAUGCAAUAAAACUCUCAGAGAUGGAGGAGUCCGCAUCCAUAUGCAAUCACUAAACAAGAGCCAAGGCAAAUGCAUUCGAAUAAAAUUUUACCACCAUUUCCUCGAGCAUCAUCAGCAGCAGGAGCAUCAUCAAACUAACGGCGGCAACAUCCGAGGCACCUCAUAAAAGUAAUGACGUCUAUGGCCCAUCAGCAUCUGAUAGAAGCUGAUAGAUACAUUUGUAUCUGCGCACGGAGGCGAGCGGAGGGAUAUCACAAUAAUUAUGGCAUACGUCACGGAACUUGGGUUUUUAUAUCUUUUAUAUUGAUUGUCAUCGUGUCACACUAACAGAUCGUAAAAAAGUCGUAAAAUCCGAAGACUCUCGCUCUGACUCUGCUCCUGUCCGGGCCAAUGGAUGGGCGAGUGAGUGCAUUACCAGAGUGAGCGAUGAAGUCCUCAUCCCUUGGGCUCACAAAACACUCAGGAUCGGGCAGGACCUCAAGCCGACUCCAACUCACACAGGGACAAGCGGAUGAUGAUGAGCUGGAUCGUUACCGUUCUGAGCUCUCAGUUCUGAGUGAUUUUCAGUCUCUGCCGCUCGAGGGGAAGUGGCGUCAAGUCGUAAAAAGGCCAUAAAAUGCUUGGCCUCUGUGUUGGUACUAACCGCAAUUUGUUUAUAUUGUUGUUAAAAUGCCGUUCCAUCUUGUUCUGCUUAGCAUUUAAUUGUCGACUGCCAGCUUUUCUUUU